ensembl:miRNA
GUCUGUGAGGAGAGAGGGGCGGGAGGGGUCGGGCGCGCCAUGGCGGCGGAGCCCGCGGCUCCUGCGAGGUGGCCGAGGC